UUUGUACAACUUUUAUGUUUUAGAAAUUAACAAUUAGAUAUUAUAUGAUACUUUAAUUUUCGCGCGGUUUUGUAAAUAAGGAACCUCGCCGCUACAGCCAAUUAAAAUGCCCCUAGACGAACUAUGAUGCGUCAUUCUUCAGUGGGAAAUUAUCGUGAGUGCUACGCAUCGCUUCGGUUGCUCGAUUACGCGAUUAUUGUUCAAUCAUAGCUUUGAAAAAAAUUCGACUAUGAAGAAAAAAUGCAUACGUCAUUCACAAUUUACUCAAGAAUUUACUCAUAAUUUUUCUGCAAAUAAGGUUAUUAGGUGACUAGUGGAAUGAAUUUUAAAAAAGUACAUAUUUCAAUAUGGAUGCCUUGAAUCAGUGAACAAUUGUUUUAGGAAAUAUUUGAGACCGAGCGCAAUGCGGUCGAUAGAAUCAGUGUUUAUUUCGUAAAAGUUUUUAUAUUUUUUGAAGUUUUGAAGUGUUUGAAACUCUAUUUAAAUUAUAAUAAUUUCGCGAGAUUAAAAUCAGUGUUUUUUUCGCCGAUUAUAAUAUAAACGGUCGCGUUAGGAUUAUUUUACUUAUUCUUUUUUUUUUUUUUUUAAAUAUUCGUUUCCGGUAUAUAUUCGAGUCAGUGUUUCAAAAAAAUAAAUCAAUCAUCAGUUAUGCAAAAAAAUGUUUCUCAGCCUCAAGACUUAUUUAAAAGUGGUUUUCUCGAUGACUUUCCAUGAUGAUAACAUUGAUGGCAGUUUUUUCGCAUCUAAUGGUAGUGGAAUGUACAACUCGGAUGCAGAAGCGUGGACAUUUUUGUAUAGAUUAUCUUUCGUGUAACGUUAUCAGUUCGCAAUGGAAUGGAAUAGAAUAGUAAACGCUCUCGAAAACAGAAACAAUUUUUCAACAUGAACAUCGGAGCUACGAGUUAUCCAGCCGGUCCGCGCUUCCAGACAGACGUAUAGAUCGCGGCCCAUAAAUAACAAGGAAGGGAAGGGCCCUCGUCUUUAAUACGAUCCCCGUUUCCCGAACUCAUAACCGUUGAUCUUCCGCUGGAAAUUCACGAGGAAAAUGCGACAAAAGUUCACCGCGCAAGAAGAUGCACACGAUGUAACAUUCAACAAACACCGGUAGACAAUGUUCCAAACUAUACAACAUACAUUUUGACAAGUUCCAGUUUCGCUUCGCAAGCAGCCGGAAAUUGAACACCGGCUGUGUUUCCUGUAUCCACGGCGGCGAGCCAGAUUCCGCGAUGGUAGUUUUACCGCGCUUUCAAGACAAACCCUGAGACGAUGAAACGGAUUUACACGGUUGAUUGAAGAGGAGUUAUACAGUAUCGACGUCAGCGACAAUGCUAGGCCGAAAGUUGUAGCGGGCGAUGUCGGCAAAUUGGUGAAAGGGUUGGCUUCAAACUGAAAUUGAGAGGGGUUGGACGUCGCCGGUACCCAACAUCAGAAGGGCAGAGGCGGGAUACGACGCUUCUGGGCUGUCGUGAACCCUGGGCUGGAGCCACCGGUGUACUUGGCAGAGAGUGCUUUUCAUCUCCGUAAAUGGACCGGCGGAGAAGAAAUCCAGCCGAAACGAAGUGCCUGGGGAGAGUUGACGAAUUUAUCGAUUCGUGUACGGGGUAAAAAUUGCACGCGUGCACACGAGAGAUUUGAAACAGAACAGGCAAUCCAUACUUCCAACUAUCUCAGAAAGUGUCGCAAAAAUCAAUCGAAUAGAUGCGUAGCGAAUUCAUUUAUCACAGAGUGAAAUUUAGUUACGGAUUCUCAUCGAGGCAAAGAAAAAGACGGCUAGACACGACUAGAGACAGAGAGAGAGAGAGUAACUUUCCUCCGCGCGCUUUGCGGCCGUGAAGAAGGGGGUUGUGCCGCUUUUGUCGUGCUGCACAGACGCGUGGAAAAGAAGAGGCCGAUGGGCAGCCUCUUUAAAGAGUAAUUACGCCUACACUCGAUGUAUCCUGCGCCCCGUGAUAUUCUUCAUCGUUUUUUUUUCAGGUGAAUACGUGUUUGUUUGCCAUUGUUCCAUCCUCGAGGAGCAGCCACUUGAAGUCCCAUACGCGUCGAAUCCUUUAGAAAACUGCGACGAGAGGCGCGGGAGGAUCGAAGAGACGAGACUUCAUACGAGACUUCGGAGACAACGAGUAUCCCUUUUGCGAUUUAAGCGGUGAUGGCCGGGGUUCUUACGCCCUUUCCUUCUACGAACUCGCUCGAUUUACGCGUAUUAAAUAUAGAGGCUUUUAAAAGCGAAUCCCGCCACGAGGGGGAAAGAAGGGGAAGAAGGGAGAGGAGAGGAGAAUGGAAGGACGCGCACGCAAUCCGAGACAAUAUCCCGUUUUGGCUAAGAGGAUCGCCGUCUCGGUGGCAGUUUUAAUAAAUUUCGCCGAUUUCUACGCUCACCGUGGAUUGCAACGUCGACUAUCUACGAAUAAACGGACGGAAUCCCCGUACUUUCGGUUUAUUAUACUUCGUUAGAACCAUAACUACGAUUUUGUAAGUCGUUUUAAUAUCAUUAUUGUUCUAUACGUUUGUAACAAAAUUUUAUAUUUUAAAAAAUAAAUAAAAAUGUGAA
rnacentral:lncRNA from 1 species